rnacentral:rRNA from 1 species
CGUCUAGGCGGGGCAGUUAGUCGGCUGUGAAAUCCCUCGGCUUACCCGAGGAAGUGCAUCCGAUACUGCUGUCCUUGAGGACGAGAGGGGAGAGUGGAACUCCUGGUGGAGCGGUGAAAUGCGUAGAUAUCAGGAGGAACGCCGGUGGCGAAAGCGACUCUCUGGCUCGUUCCUGACGCUGAAGCGCGAAAGCUAGGGGAGCGAACG